GACGAACGCUGGCGGCGUGCCUAACACAUGCAAGUCGAGCGGGUACCCGCAAGGGUACCAGCGGCGCACGGGUGAGUAACACGUGGGUAAUCUACCCCUCGGAGGGGGAUAACCGGGGGAAACUCCGGCUAAUACCCCAUACGAUCCAACAACACAAGUUGUUGGAUGAAAGGAGCGUUUGCUCCGCCGAGGGAUGAGCCCGCGGCCCAUCAGGUAGUUGGUGGGGUAAUGGCCCACCAAGCCUACGACGGGUAGCCGGCCUGAGAGGGUGGUCGGCCACAAGGGCACUGAGACACGGGCCCUACUCCUACGGGAGGCAGCAGUGGGGAAUCUUGGACAAUGGGCGAAAGCCUGAUCCAGCGACGCCGCGUGGGGGAUGUAGCCCUUCGGGGUGUAAACCCCUGUUGCGAGGGAGGAAUAAGGCCUGGAGGAAAUGCCAGGCCGAUGACUGUACCUCGCGAGGAAGCCCCGGCUAACUACGUGCCAGCAGCCGCGGUAAUACGUAGGGGGCGAGCGUUACCCGGAUUCACUGGGCGUAAAGCGGGUGUAGGCGGCUCGGUAAGUCGGGUGUGAAAUCCCACAGCUCAACUGUGGAAUUGCGCCCGAAACUGCUGAGCUUGGGGCCGGUAGAGGGAGACGGAACUGCCGGUGUAGGGGUGAAAUCCGUAGAUAUCGGCAGGAACGCCGGUGGGGAAGCCGGUCUCCUGGGCCGCGCCCGACGCUGAGACCCGAAAGCUAGGGGAGCAAACC
rnacentral:rRNA from 1 species